AUGCCUAGUACGGCGAGUGAAGCGGCAACAGCUCAAAUUUGAAAGCUGGCUCCGGCCCGCGUUGUAAUUUGCAGAGGAUGCUUCUGGCGAGGUGCCUUCCGAGUUCCCUGGAACGGGACGCCAUAGAGGGUGAGAGCCCCGUAUGGAUGGACACCAAACCUGUGUGAAGCUCCUUCAACGAGUCGAGUAGUUUGGGAAUGCUGCUCUAAAUGGGAGGUAAAUCUCUUCUAAAGCUAAAUACCGGCCAGAGACCGAUAGCGCACAAGUAGAGUGAUCGAAAGAUGAAAAGCACCUUGAAAAGGGGGUUAAACAGUACGUGAAAUUGUUGAAAGGGAAGCGCUUGUGACCAGACUUGCGCCGGGCAGCUCAUCAGGGGUUCUCCCCUGUGCACUCUGCCCGGCUCAGGCCAGCAUCGGUUCUCGUGGGAGGAUAAGAACGGUAGGAACGUGGCCCCCCUCCGGGGGGGUGUUAUAGCCUGCCGUACGAUACUCCCGUGGGGACCGAGGUUCGCGCUCCGCAAGGAUGCUGGCGUAAUGGUCAUCAGCGACCCGUCUUAA
rnacentral:rRNA from 1 species